AUUAACAUCUGCAUUCAUUUAUUUGUUAUUUUAUUAUAUAAGGUUCCAACAACCGAACAAAUAUCCAUCAAAUUUCCAAGAACUCCCAUAUAUGGAUCAAGACUGGACGUCAAUUUCGUUCGAACUCUACCUGCUGUUUACACUUUUCAGUUACUUGGGGAUGACAUUUAUAACUCCACAACGCUGACUCUGAGGGUUGACGAGCAAUCGCAGUCUUACAGAAUACAAGCACAUAUUAUGACCAGAAAGGACGUUCUUAACCUUCCGCUUGACAUACCUAUCGAUUUCCAACCUAUGUGUCCACCGGAUGAAUGUCAGUUUUCAUUCAUCAUUCUACACGAACAUAUACAGAUCCUUGUCAACGAAAGAGAGCUAGUACGUGCCGAAGUAAAGUCGACAUUUAUUAGACAGUUGAGACAAGUUAUGAUUUCCACACCCUCCUCCUCACCGGCAUCAUUGCAAAUGUUCGCGUUUAAAAAAUAAUAAAAGAAAAAGACACGGAUAUCAGAUGACGAGCACAUUCUGCUGGCGAUACAGAAUAAUAAUUUAUAAUUUCAAAUACAUUUUAUCGUCUCUUUUUUCUAUCUUCAUAGAUAAAUUUAAAUGGAAAUAUUGAUUUAUGGACAAAAAACUAUUUCUCAUCAUUAAAUACCUUAA